rnacentral:rRNA from 1 species
GCAGUCGCGGUUAAAUUUCUGAUUCCCCCAGCGGGAUGAAUGCGGCUUAAAGGAUAGGCAACGAGUGGUAAAUAGUGUAUAGGAAAAUUAAUAUUGUGGGUAUAAUCUUAAGUGUUAACAGAACUUAUCGGGAUCGUGAACUAUGAAACCGGGGUAAGAGGACCGGGAUUAGAUACCCCGUUACUCCCGGCAUUAAGUGUGGCUAAUUUUUUUAUUUUGCGCAUGUUUGCCGGGCAACAACGUCGGAUGGAGGUAAAAGUCGAAGUGCUUGGCGGUCUAGCGAUGAACCAGCCCGUGAGACUUGACGGUUAAUCCGAUAAUCCGCGUAAAUUCUACUCUUUUCUUGUAUUCGACAGUUGGUGUAUGGCCGUGCAGUGCUUCCUGAAAGGGAGUUGCAAAAUCCAGCGUGAAUGUUAUUAGAUUAACUGAACGAAAGUGGAGGAAGACAGGUCGUCAUGCUGCCCAUGAAGGAGGCUUAGUUGAGUCACAAUGAAAACAAAUCAAACGGAGUCGGGGAGGAAGAAACCUGACGAAGAAGUAAUGGGUAGUAAGAAGAGAAUAAUUCGCUUUUCUGAAUCGUGAACUCCUAGGUGUACAAAUCGCCCGUCGCCCCCAGAGUGCUUUAAUUCCGGGGUAAGUCGUAACAUAGUAGGAGUACGGGAACGUGCCUCCU